rnacentral:rRNA from 1 species
UACGGGGGGGGCAAGCGUUGUUCGGAAUUACUGGGCGUAAAGGGCUCGUAGGCGGCCAACUAAGUCGGAUGUGAAAUCCCCAGGCUUAACCUGGGAACUGCAUCCGAUACUGGAUGGCUUGAAUCCGGGAGAGGGAUGCGGAAUUCCAGGUGUAGCGGUGAAAUGCGUAGAUAUCUGGAGGAACACCGGUGGCGAAGGCGGCAUCCUGGACCGGCAUUGACGCUGAGGAGCGAAGCCAGGGAGCAAACGGG